GCUCCAUUUUCAAUUGUGUUAGAGGAACCAAGAUUUCAGGCCAUUAUCUCAUCAUUCCCAUGAAUAGCAACACGAAAUGUGCUUGUGCUGCUGGGACACCAAGCCUGGCUGGGAGGACAUGGCCACUGAAGGAAAUCCAGAAGAAACCACGCUGCCACAGAGAGUACUGAAAGCCCAAGGAGAAACCCCAAGGCAGGACAGGAUGUAAGACAGCUCUAGAGAACAAUGAAUACUGUGCUGUGGUGCUGGAUGCUCACCCUGGCAGGUUCCAGACCAUCAUCUCCCAUCAUCAUGGUGUCUCCAGCCAUGGCUCAGCCUCCCCUUUGCUGGCAACAUCUUCUCAUCAGACUGUGCAUCCCAACCUCAAAUCGAGUGAGCUGAGAAACUGAAAAAA